UACGAAGGGGGCUAGCGUUGCUCGGAAUCACUGGGCUUAAAGCGUGUGUAGGCGGAAUGGUAAGUACCUUGUGAAAUCCCACGGCUCAACCGUGGAACUGCUGGGUAUACUGCUUUUCUUGAGCCACUUAGGGGCUGUCGGAACAAACGGUGGAGCGGUGAAAUGCGUAGAUAUCGCUUGGAACGCCAAUGGUGAAAACAGGUCGCUGGGGUUGUGCUGACGCUGAGACACGAAAGCCAGGGGAGCGAACGGG
rnacentral:rRNA from 1 species